rnacentral:tRNA from 1 species
GAGAGAGUGUGGUUACAACAAAGGCUGCUAACCUUCAAUUCCUCAGUUAAACUCCGAGGCUCACUCA